rfam:Colwellia sp. 39_35_sub15_T18 BD02T18sub15_scaffold_5, whole genome shotgun sequence.
GCGAGUAUUUUACACCGAGCUGAAAUAGCUAACGCCACGUUUUAUAUAAACUGGUCAUGUUAUUUUGAGCCGUAGUAAUGAUUUUAUUGAAAUUUAUUGCUGCCAGGGUUAACAAGGAAACACGUUAGCCUCCCUACAUUUGGAAAGGUGAUAUGUUAACAGACAA